GGAGAGAGAAGGAGAGAAGCCACUGCCCGUCCGUCUGUCCGUCUGAUUGGCAGGAGCUAGGCUGUGCCCCCGUCCUGAGGUCCAAUGCAAGCUCCGCAGCCCCCCGUAGGCAGCUGCCCCUGGUUUUUGUCUUAAGCCAGGAGCAAGGGGCUUCUCUUAUUUGCAACAAAAACCAAAGCGAACCCCUGUGAGUGCUAAAGGCACCUGAGACACUUGGCUUGGCCUGUGUGGCAGGCCGAGGGUCCCAGGGAAUCUGUCGGAGCCCAGCCACCUUCCCCGGAGGCCAGGGAAAUCCUGCCCCAGGCCCAGUGGCCACAGAGACAAGCCUGCAGGCCCAGGCAUGGGCGGUGCAGAAGCUCCUCGGUGGCCAUCUCCUGCGCCUACCCGGACCUUCACAGCCUGCCCAGCUGCACCCCUCGCCCAGGCCUCCUCUCCCUGAGGCCCGGCUUCUGGCAAGUUCCACACUCAAUCCAGGGACGUGUGGGACAGGUCACACCCUCCCAGUAGGCAAGGAGCGGCUGCUCCGGCCAGCCUGUGAGGAGGGAGAGCAGAGGGAAGCGGCCAUCGCGGCUCCCAGCACUGCGCCCAGUGCCGCCUGCUCAACACCAGUCUCCCCGGCCACCCCCACUGCUCCCUGUCCACCGAGGCAGUGCUGCCACCACAGACGACCAGUCCAGGACAGUUCCUGAGCUGAAACCCACGAGAAAAAAAUCAGAGAGUUUGGAGCCUCCUCAGUACCCACCACGGGUGGUGGUGUGGGGCACUUUACCAGAGCAAAGAGCAAGGCGGCCAGGACUGAGGAUGUGCCCAGGGCUCCGAAGCCAACCAGAGACCCCAGGGCCCAGAGAACUUGAGCUUCCACAGGGCCACAGGGCCGGGACGGAGGCCCAUCUGGAGUGCAGAGGAGUUUUUAAAAAAUGAGUUAUUUGCCUGAGAGGCUGGGAGGGGCCGGGACACUGUCCUGAAAAUGGUAAAUAAAGGGCAGGACUGUGUGUCUUUCUGCCCUUCCCGUGCCCA